UACGAAGGGGGCGAGCGUUAUUCGGAAUCACUGGGCGUAAAGCGUGCGUAGGCUGCUUGGAAAGUUGGAAGUGAAAGCCCAGGGCUCAACCCUGGAAUUGCUUUCAAAACUACCAGGCUAGGAUUGGGAGAGGAUAGCGGAAUUGUCAGUGUAGCAGUGAAAUGCGUAGAUAUUGACAGGAACACCAGUGGCGCAAGCGGCUAUCUGGACCAACAUCGACGCUGAGACGCGAAAGCGUGGGGAGCGAACAGG
rnacentral:rRNA from 1 species